GAUGAAAACGCAGCGAAAUGCGAUAAGUAAUGUGAAUUGCAGAAUUCAGUGAAUCAUCGAAUCUUUGAACGCACAUUGCGCCCUCUGGUAUUCCGGGGGGCAUGCCUGUUCGAGCGUCAUUAUAACCACUCAAGCUCUCGCUUGGUAUUGGAGUUCGCGAUCUCGCGGCUCCUAAAAUCAGUGGCGGUGCCUGUCGGCUCUACGCGUAGUAAUACUCCUCGCGAUUGAGUCCGGUAGGUUUACUUGCCAGCAACCCCCAAUUUUUACAGGUUGACCUCGGAUCAGGUAGGGAUACCCGCUGAACUUAAGCAUAUCAAUAAGCGGAGGA
rnacentral:misc_RNA from 1 species